CGUUGAGAAACACCCAGAAAGCCUUGGCGCGCAGGGGGCUUCCCAAGUGUCCCCACCCACCCCCGGGACUAGGAAGCCGCCGCAGACGACGAGGAGAGUUGUCAGAGAGGCAGUUUCGCAGACAGCCCUCGCCCAGACUUCAAAACAGCCGAGAAUGCCCUUCUCGAGCUCGAAGAAUGCCUGGAAUUCAGUGGCCUUUAUCCAACAUAAAGAUCCCCAACUCGGUGCUGACUUAGUUCCCUAUAGAACCCCGCAGCCUUGAGCACCGACAGCGCCCCGCAUGUUAAAGGGAAGGGGGAGACCCUGGAAGGCUCUCGGGCGCUGGGGACACAGAUCGCGGCUCGGCGGGCAGCUCGGGCCCGCGGGCACGUCCGUGGGUGUGCAGUCCCGGGCUCCCGGCGGUGUGGGGUGUGCAGGCCCCGUGGCUGAGACCCGCCCGAGACUCCGCAGGCGAUCCCCAACUGCUCGCAACUAACCCGCGCCGCCCUCGGCCCCACGGCACCAGCUCCUGGCCCCUUAAAGCUGGCUGCGCCAACAGAAACCAGAGGCCCUUCUAUCCUGGUUCAAGAGAAGCUCAACAGAAAGUGAAACGGUCCCUGUUCCUUGGGGGAGAAGGCGUCAGUCCAGGAAUGGCCUACGGGAUCUGGAAACCCAGCAGCUGGGUCACUCUUCAGAGAGACACUGCGGGUAGCAUUCAGGGAAAAGGAAGCCCCGCCUCGGAGAGGUUCCAGAUCCCCGAGGUCACACAGCUCUGCUGAACUUGGAGGCCAGGCCCGGUCAUUCUCCAAAAAGCCGCCAAAAGCUUUGCUGCUCUAGCUACUGUGCUCCGAGCCUCGACGUUUCCGCCGCGCUCGAAGGAAGCGUUUCGUUCCUAAAAGCCCACGCGCGGAAUCAUCGCUCUAGGAUUCUACAUAAUACUAUCCUAUACCAUUAUGUUGGAAUUUACUGGAAGGACACAUAAAGGAAGACUUGAGAAAACAGUGCGAAGGACAGGUGCGGAAGAAACUUGAUUACCAGCCCCCAGAGGCACGUGGGCAGCCUUUGAAGAUGCUGUCCUCGGCUGACUCACUUGCAGAUGCCUCCAGCCCCCACGUGUUUCUGCUCUAAAUUCAAGCUUCUGAGAGAGAGAAACUGAUUGGCCUGUCUUGGGUCACGGGCCUACCCCUGACUUGACUCAGGGGGUUGGAUCCGGUGAUUGGAAAGCCUGUCGGAAUCAGAUGAGUUAGGAUCAGUCCUGCAGAGUGCUGUUAGCAGGAGGAAGCAGACAGCUUGCAAAACAGGGAGGAAAGAUUUUACAAAAAUUCUCCCCAUUUUAUUUUUUUAAAUAAUAUUUUAUUUAUUUAUUUGACAGAGAUCACAAGUAGGCAGAGAGGCAGGCAGAGAGAGAAGGGGAAGCAGGCUCCCCGCUGAGCAGAGAGCCUGAUGCGGGGCUCGAUCCCAAGACCCCGAGAUUACGACCUGAGCUGAAGGCAGAGGCCCAACCCACUGAGCCACCCAGGCGCCCCCAUUUUAUUGUUUUAAACAUUAUACAAGUUACACAUAAGUAAAUGCACUUGUGAAAAGCCAAAGAAGGAAGACUAGAGAAGAACUCUCCAUCCUGCUCUCGUCCUCAGAGGCUGCGACGCUGUCGGGCAGCAUCUUACCCGCGGCAGAACUUGCAGAAUCGUCGUCGGUCCUCACCCCGCCUGCUGCUGCUCUGCCAGAGGUUUAGAGACCGCUCAUGCAGGCAGGGGGAGAAGCAGGCUCCCCACUGAGCAAGAAGCCUGGUGCAGGACUUGAUCCCAUGAUCGUGACCUGAACAGAAGGCAGAUAUUUAACUGACGGAGCCACCCAGACACUCCAGAAUGGCCUUUCAAGCAGGCAGGAUGACAACUAGGAACACGGAACCUGAACCCAGUGCUUUCUAAGAGUGACGGAACAAUCAGCUGCCUUUUAAGGUCCCCACAGAAGCCUCCAACUGCCCUUCAAGAAAGGACGCCUUUGAUGAAGAGGAUUCUUUCUAGGUCCAGCGGAAGAGAAAAAACAUUCCAGUCGACCUGGCAACACUCAGAAUUGGGCUCUGAGCUCCCACUCUGCGGGGUGAACAGACCAUGUGUGCAGGUGCGUGGAAGCCCGGGGAACCGUCUACGGUGUCACAGGACCAGCUGGUGUGGCACAGGUAUGGGGCCUCCCUCCAGGGCACCCUCCGCUCUCUGGCCUUUUCUGUUUAAAUCAUCUCUCCCUGUCCCCGCACCCCUCCUUGGAUUUGUCCCCCCAACACGUCUGCUUCACAGAUGAGGGAUCUGAAGACCAGGCAGGGAGGCGCAGGGACUUGCCUAAGGUCACACAGCCAUUGAGUAGAGUUUAGGAUCUGAAUCCUGUUUUCCAAUCAAGCACCCUUUCUAGGGCCAGCUAGCGGACAUUUGAGAAAUCUGCCAUUGUAGAAACCAAGGCAGCAAAGGCAGAGGGGCCUAGGAACUCGGAAAUAAUCCCUGGAUCCAGCAAAAACGAAGGAAGUAGACCGUGCUGGAUGUGGCUGCCGAGAUCUCGGUGUGAGGAGAGUAAAGAUGGCCAGAACGGUUUGGGGGAAACUAGGCAGAAUAUGCUUUACAAAUAAGUAUUACUUUUCUUCCUUAAAAAGUUAAAAAUAGAAUCACCUUGUGAUCCAGCAACCCCAUUUCUGGGUAUAUACCCCCAAAGAAGAAAAACAGUCCGAGCUAUUUGUUUACCCAAACUGUUUGUCUCCCCCGCCCCUGAAGCCCCAUUCAUAUCUUAAAGCCCUAAUGCCCAGUACUCCAUCCGGAAACAAGGCCUUUAAAGAGGUAAUUAAGGUGAAGUGAGAUCAUUGGGAGAGGCUCCAAUCCAGUAUGACUGGUGCCCUUAAAAGAAUGGUGCAGCCUCUUUGGAGAACAGUGUGGAGAUUCCUCAAGAAAUUAAAAAUAGAGCUUCCCUAUGACCCAGCAAUUACACUCCUGGGUAUUUACCCCAAAGAUACAGAUGUUGUGAAAAGAAGGGCCAUGUGGACCCCAAUGUUCAUAGCAGCAAUGGCCACCGUCGCCAAACUAUGGAAAGAACCAAGAUGCCCUUCAGCGGACGAAUGGAUAAGGAAGAUGUGGUCCAUAUACACUAUGGAGUAUUAUGCCUCCAUCAGAAAGGACGAAUACCCAACUUUUGUAGCCACAUGGACGGGACUGGAAGAGAUUAUGCUGAGUGAAAUAAGUCAAGCAGAGAGAGUCAAUUAUCAUAUGGUUUCACUUAUUUGUGGGGCAUAACAAAUAGCAUGGAGGACAAGGGGUGUUAGAGAGGAGAAGGGAGUUUGGGGAAAUUGGAUGGGGAGGUGAAUUAUGAGAGACUAUGGACUCUGAAAAACAAUCUGAGGGGUCUGAAGUGGCGGGAGUGUGGGAGGUUGGGGUACCAUGUGGUGGUUAUUAUAGAGGGCACUGAUUGCAUGGAGCACUGGGUGUGGUGCAAAAAUAAUGAAUACUGUUUUUCUGAAAGUAAAUAAAUUGAAAAAAAAAAAAAAAAAAAGAAUGGGAGCGGGGAAUGCCUGCGUGGUUCAUUUGGUCACGCAUCUGACUCUGUUUCAGCUCAGGUCAUGAUCUCGGGGUGCUGAGAUCGAGCCCCACACUGGGCUCUGUGCUCAAUGUGGAGUCUGCUUCUCCUACUCCCUCUGUUGCUCCCCCCUGCUCCCCCUCAUAAACAAAUACAAUACUUUAAGGGUUUUGGACAAAGACAUGAACAAAGAUGGGGUGAAGACCGGGGAGAAGACAGCCAAGGAGGGAGGCCUCAGGAGAAACCAACCCUGCCUCCCCCUUGAUCUUGGACUCGUGGCCCCAGAACAGGGAGAUAACACGUUGCUGUUGUUCAAGUGGCUUCGUCUCUGGCACUUCCUUAGGGCCGCCUUAGCAGAGGGACACACCCACAUCCACAGCCUCACUCCCGGUGGCCAAGGGAGGGAAGCAGCCGGGAUCCCCACUGACGGAUGAGCAGAUACACAGAACUGACGCGCACAACGCAGCACUAUUCAGCCUUAGAAAGGAAGCCAGUUCCACGCAGCACGAUUCAGCCUUGGAAAGCAAGCCAGUUCCGCCACACGUUAACGACAGACUCUGGAGGACUUUGUGCUACGUGGAAUCAGCCAGACCUUAAAGGACAAAUUCUGUGUAAUUCUACUUCCAUCAAAUUCACAGAGGCAGACACGGGAAUGAAUGGAGGUUGCCAGGGGCAGAGGGUGGGGGAUGGGGGCAGAGUUUCAGUUCUGUGAGAUGAAGCGUUCUGGAGCCCCCGGAGCUCACUUGCACAAUAAUGUGAGUGCACAUGACACUAUCAAACUGUACACUUACGAACGGUGAAAGUGGGAAUUUUGUUUUGUUUUAAGAGAGAGCAAGCAAGAGCAGGGGGGAGGGGAAGACUCCCCACUGAGCAGAGAGCCGGAUGCGGGGCUCGAUUCCAGGACCCUGGGAUCAGGACCUGAGCCAAAGGCAGAGGCUUUACCAACUGAGCCACCCAGGUACCCCUGUUAAUAUGAAUUUUACCACAAUAAAAAGAGAAUAGUAUUGGGGAGUGCUAUGAAGUGUGUAAACCUGGCGAUUCACAGACCUGUACCCCUGGGGCUAAUAAUACAUUAUAUGUUAAUAAAAAAUAAAAAAAAAUUAAAAGAACAGUAUUGAACAAUCAUUAUUUAAGCUUCUAACAUUUUAAUUAAAAGAAAUGACCUAUGAAAGAACUCAGUAAUAUCUAGGACUAUAGCCCUGUGCCAGUCCUCAGGCACGGAUCCUGACUCGCAUUCAGUGUAUUCUGGAUACCUGACACGAACACGUC